rnacentral:rRNA from 1 species
GAUGAACGCUGGCGGCGUGCCUAAUACAUGCAAGUCGAGCGGACAGAGGAGGAGCUUGCUUCUCUUCCGCUACCGGCGGGUGGGUGAGUACCACGUAGAUAACCUAUCUAUAAGGCUGGGGUCACUUAAGGGACCCGGAUCUCAUACCGGACAAUAUAUUGAACGGCAUGGUUCAUUAGUGCAAGCGGUAUCUGCUGACACUUAUACGUAGAACCUGGCCGGAUUAGCUAGUUGCUAGGGUAACGGCCUACCAAGGCGACGAUGCGUAGCUGAUCUGAGAGGGUGAUCAGCCACACUGGAACUGAGACACGGUCCAGACUCCUACGGGAGGCAGCAGUGGGGAAUCUUGCGCAAUGGGCGAAAGCCUGAUGCAGCCAUGCCGCGUGUGUGAAGAAGGUCUUCGGAUUGUAAAGCUCUUUUAGUUGGGAAGAAGAGAAGUGAGUUAAUCUAUUGCUGUUUUGACGGUACCAACACAGAAAGCACCGGCCAACUUCGUG